CUGGUGAAGCGUGGAAGCGUGGGAAUGGAGCGCCGCAAAAAUGGGUUUAGGACGUGGAAGGAGGAGGAGAGAUAAUGAAAGGGUGAGUUUUUAGGGUUGAAGAAGAGGAAAGGGGACGAGGUGGGGAAUCGGAGAAGAAGAAGAGAUUGGAGAAGGGACGGUGGAGAUUGAGAGUUGGGAAGUGUUGUCUGACAAUGGAGAGGGGAUUAGAUCGGAGGUUGUGAAGGAAAAGAAGGAAGGGA